rnacentral:ncRNA from 1 species
GUAAACGUGAAGACGAGGAAGAGUAGAAUAUUUUUUCUUUCCAAGAGAAGAGACGGUUGGUGCAAGUCUCUAAGAAAAGUAUUUGAACGUAGCCUCUGAGCAAUAUUCCUGAACUUAGAGUAAGGAAUAUCGGGAAACUUACUCUCGUUAAAAGAAUGAAGUGCCGUAUUUUUGCGUACGGUAAAAAGGUGGUACCGCGGAAUACUCUUUUCGUCCUUUAU